UUUAGAUAUUUAUAUUUACAGUUAAAACAAAAUGUUUAACGAUAUAAAAAAUGAUGUCUUCUAUUUAAAAUAAAUCUGCAGAUUUUGGCACUAUAAAUAAUGAUACUAUCACAGUUACUGGCAAGAACAAUAGACAAUUUAUCCGGUUAGAAAAAUUUAAAAAGUUUGAGUAACACAGACUUUUGUUUUGUUAUUUUGUUUGGAUUCUGAACUAAUUUGCAUGCAAAACUGAGAUUUUGUCACAAAAUUCAAUUUUGUGUUUAUUUUUGUGUAGACAAAAUUUAAUUUUGUAAAACAGAAGUGAAAAUUUAACACAAAAGUCAUUUUUGUCACAAAAGUCAAUUUUGUGUCAAAAGUCAAUUCUGUGUCAAAAGUCAA
rnacentral:lncRNA from 1 species